UACGUAGGGGGCUAGCGUUGUCCGGAAUCAUUGGGCGUAAAGGGCGCGUAGGCGGCCUUCUAAGUCGAACGUGAAAUCCCCGGGCUCAACCCGGGAACUGCGUCCGAUACUGGAAGGCUUGAAUCCGGGAGAGGGAUGCGGAAUUCCAGGUGUAGCGGUGAAAUGCGUAGAUAUCUGGAGGAACACCGGUGGCGAAGGCGGCAUCCUGGACUGGUCCUGACACUCAGGAGCGAAAGCGUGGGGAGCGAUCCGG
rnacentral:rRNA from 1 species